CGAACGGGUGAGUAAUGCGUGACCAACCUGCCCCAUGCUCCAGAAUAGCUCUUGGAAACGGGUGGUAAUGCUGGAUGCUCCAACUUGACGCAUGUCUUGUUGGGAAAGUGUUUAGUGGCAUGGGAUGGGGUCGCGUCCUAUCAGCUUGUAGGCGGGGUAAUGGCCCACCUAGGCUUCGACGGGUAGCCGGCCUGAGAGGGCGGACGGCCACAUUGGGACUGAGAUACGGCCCAGACUCCUACGGGAGGUAGCAGCC
rnacentral:rRNA from 1 species